CCGCGUCCCCAGGUCAGGCGAGACCACCCGCUGAGCUUAAGCAUAUCAAUAAGCGGAGGAAAAGAAACUUACGAGGAUUCCCCUAGUAACGGCGAGCGAACCGGGAACAGCCCAGCAUGAAAAUCGGGCGGCAGCGCCGUCCGA
rnacentral:rRNA from 1 species